rnacentral:lncRNA from 1 species
AAGUGGAAUGUAAAUUCUAGUCAGACUGGUGCCGACCAGGAGUGAGCAGCCUUUAGUCGGUUGGGUAUCCAUGUUGAUGCCCGACAUCAACCAUGCUGGGCGGGACUCAUGAAUCUUAGCCGGAUUGAAUGGCGGUGGCUUAGUUGGCUCAGAGAUGAGAAGUCUUGACAGUCGGCUAAGUGAUUGGGAUCUAUCCCAACACUUGCCUUCCAAUUCUCGAGUCCAACUUUGUGGUUAGUCGGGCGAAUGGAGUUUGUCUUCGGGC